GGGCGUUUGGCACAGUGGUAGCGCGCCUGCUUUGCAUUGUGCAAUCUGCAUGAGGUCGAGGGUUCAAACCCCUCAACGUCCA